rnacentral:rRNA from 1 species
CCUACGGGUGGCUGCAGUGGGGAAUAUUGGGCAAUGGAGGCAACUCUGACCCAGCAACGCCGCGUGAAGGAAGAAGGCCUUAGGGUUGUAAACUUAUGUUGUAAAGGAAGUAAAGAAUGAUGGUACUUUACAAGAAAGCCCCUGCUAACUAUGUGCCAGCAGUCGCGGUAAGACAUAGGCGGCAAGCGUUGUUCGGAAUCACUGGGCGUAAAGGGAGCGUAGGCGGGAGAUUAAGUUAAGAGUGAAAGCCUUGGGUACAACCCAAGAAAUGCUCUUAAUACUGGUUUUCUAGAGUGUGGGAGAGGUAAGUGGAAUUCCUGGUGUAGCGGUAGAAUGCGUAGAGAUUAGAAGGAACAUCAGAGGCGAAGGCGGCUUACUGGACCAUAACUGACGCUGAGGCUCGAAAGCGUGGGGAGCAAACAGGAUUAGAUACCCGGGUAGUC